AUUGGACGUCGUAUAGACGUUGAAAUUAGGUCUAAAUUGCGUCCGUCGGUCCAUGACCAGUUUUGGACCUUAGAAUGACGUACAAACUAGGUCCUUUAUUUGGACGUCUAAUAAUGACCCUAUUUGUACGUCAUUAUGAAGUUCAAAAUUCAGACGUCAGUCUAGGUCACUUUUUUGGACGUCAAAAACAGGUGAGGGAAAUCGACAUGAUUGUUGUUGUUGCUGUUGCUUUUUUUUUUUUUGCUUUGUUUUUAAAUAGGCCAUAGUAGUUUUCCUAGUAGGCUAUUUUUUUCUGUUCACAUCGGGUGGGGAAAGAGUGUGUGGCAAUCCCAAACGUGCAAUGCACCGUGGGACACACUGCCUAAACAGAUGUGUCAAAAAAAAUAACACAUUGGGAUAUGUAGACAGCAUUGACAGAUUAGGUGUCAUUUUUGUGUAAGAUUUCAUUUCUGGGUCGUGCUACAAGUGAGAAACUAACGGCCGUUUGGCUGUCCAAUCGCGUGACUGUGGACAUUUGAAAGCAGACUUCCGCCCGCCUUUUCUACCGUUGGAAAUGCAAGAUGCGGCGACUUGACUUCAGACACCGAGAGAGGCUGGCGGCCCAGGUCUUGUGGCCACAUCUGUCCAAGCUCCUACUCUGAUUGAACAGUUGGAUGAUCAGACUGAUGAUGAAAAGUGCUACACAGUUCUCACACAUCUUCUGACUCCGAAGCCGCUGCAGUGUAAAAUCUGAGAUGUCUUUUCUGGUUGAUUUUGUGCAGAUUUCUGACAGCGACAGCGAUGGUGAGGGAAGCAGUGUACCGAACUCUCAGAUGACUCGGACCAGGUGACCAAACCCAUGCAAAGCACAAUGACUGUGCUGAGGCGUUCCGCCCCCCCUCCCCCUCCACACCACUCAAGGCACGGCGGCGGCCCAACCGCAAACUAACGGAGAUUAACAUGAGGCUGGAUGCGCUUGGCUCCCUGUUGCGUCCAUCACCAGAGGGGCCGGGAUUGCUGCGGUAGCUAGCCAAUUAAAGGAGGAGGAUGAAGGAGAGGAGUCUGACGAUGCAGACAUCGCCAUCGUAUGCAGGCCACGCCCUCGCAGGAAAACCAGCCAAUUAAAGCGCUUGCAGCAGCAUCAGCAGAACACACCGGCACGACUGGUAAACUUAAAGAUACGCCACAGACCAGACAUACACCAAAUACAACUAGCACAGACAGAGCUUCUGAAGCAUGCAGUGGAAGACCUGUCAGUCAAGCUAAAGGUCCCGCCCUCCAACCUGCUGCUGCUGCACGGAGAGGCGGAACUUAACACAUCACACACUAUUGGCCAGCUAGGACUCUGCAUCGCUGACAUCUUUGUCUGGAACCAACUUCACAUCCCUCUUCACUGCACUACUGACACUGAGAUGGAAUCCACAACCCAACCACUAGUGGUCUGCAUUGGGAACCUGAAGAGUCUGUCAUAACCGCCAGGAAUGACCGUGUGACCAUUCCCGUUGCAGACGGCCUGACUUGCACAAUUGACAAGCUGUUCAAGCUUUAGUGGGUCUGCAACUUGUUAUAUCCAGCACAGCUCAGCUCUGUUUUCACCUUCUUUGAAUAUGUUUAUGACGUUCCCAUCUCAACCAACAAACGAACAAAGGCACUACAACUUCUCUCAAAGCUUCCCAGCAGCCCAAGUGAUCACUCAACAUGUGUUUAUGCCCAAAAUGUAAAUAGUUACUACAGACAUCAAGAAAGUAGUUUGGCAUCUUUUUCAUGUACACGCUUUGUCAGAUGCACAGGAUAUGAUGAUAAUUUGCAGCCAAGAUGGCUGUUCAAGUUUACAAGGACUUACUAUGUAGACACCACCUACGUAGACACCACCAGUCCACAACAACAGAAAUGGGAGUAUCUUUCAAUGACUCUUUUGAAUCCACUGACAUUCAGACAGCCUAUGCAGCUUCAAGUAACACCUGAAGAAAGAGCAUUUUGUGUCCCUUCUCAAGGACAGAUUCUCCAUAAUUUACCACUUAAUGACAAUUUAUCUGUGUUCAUGCUUGUUAGGAUUAUUACAGGGAAUUAUUUUGAUUAUCAUUUUGGCAACACUUUAUUUUAUCAUUACAUCUAUUAGCUCUAAUACAUACAGUGUUAAUGCCUGUAUGCUGUAUAAGUAACUUGUAAGGCAUGCACUAAGCAAAAUCAAACAUACAUUAGGCAUGUAUUCGCAAAUGCCUUGUUCAUGCACAAUUUGGGAUUUAUUACCUAAUGUAACCUCAGUAAGGACCUAACAAAUGUUUGAUUUCGCUUAGUACAUGCCUUACAAGUUACUUAUACAGGCAUUAACCCAUUGAUGCUGGAUGUUGCGUUGUGCAACAUUGGCCCUGGCGCCUGGAGUUUUGUAUGGCAUCAGCACCCUUUUCUGCAAGUGCUUUAGGCAUCAAUGGGUUAACAUUGUAUGUAUUAGUGCUAAGCGAUGUAAUGUUAAAAUAAAGUGUUACCAUCAUAUUUAAAAAAUAUAUAUAUGUUGUAAAACUGGACGAUUGUGAAAUGAUAUGUGGCAGAUUUAAGACCCAUUGAUGUAAUGCAGAGUUUUCAUUCAGAUGAACUGUCUCUUAACCCAAGGUACAAUGUCUUUUCUUCCAAUAUGUUGGAACCUAUUUCAUAAGAAUGUUAUUUUCAAGAAUAUUUAACACUACUUCGAAUUUCAAGACUUUCGGGUUUUGUAAUACACCGGUAAUGUUGUUAAGAGAUGAUAGUGUACGAGUCAUAACCAUCAAUACUUCAUGAAAUUCGCAGUGGUGUUAAUUAUUCUUGAAAAAGAUCACAUUUGUUAUCUCCCCCUCUUCUGAAAAGCCUAACAAAAAAGAAUAUGACAGUAAAGUUAAUGUAAUACAAUUUUUUUUAAUUGAAUGUAAACACAACUCUACCAAAAAAAACAUUGCUGAGGUAUGUAGUCAAGACUUUUGAAGAUUGAACCUUGUAAACAAAAGUGUUUGCUAAAUAAAAGUAAACCCCCCUGUCA